AGGAUGUUGUGAAUACUGUGUAGUGAUUAAUUCCUUUGAAAUUACUCGGGAUUGAGAUUAUUUGGUGGGUUGUCUUAGAGUGAUCGUCCUGUCCAGGAUUCUGGCAUGGUCGACUUGUGGGAAAGUGAAGCUAUUGAAUUUUUAUUGGCUUGUAUAGCUUUAUAAUUUCUGUUAGUUUAGCUUGUUUGGUUGUUUAGAGAUGGCAAGGUGUUUAUCUUUCCAUUGACAAUGUUCCGGGUGGAUGUGACAACAAAAUUAGAAAGGUAUCCAAACCAUCAGUUAUUCCAGCUGUGGAAGUUGAGCCUCCAGGUUGCUCAUUUAAUCCUUCAUUUGAAGCUUAAUUUCCUAACAUUUCAGAUACUCUCAGAGUAAUGCAGAAAGUCUAUCCAAGUGAGUUGGGACGUCAACCUGUUUCAUUAACUGUUCCUGGGGAACAGAAAGUAACUGAUGAAGAAGAUGUGAGUCGCUGGCUUUUACAUUUAAGUUGUUUUCCUUAAGCUUACAACAUCUGCUAUUGUGUUAGAUGUACUUUCUUGAGGUGGAUGAUGGGGAUGAUAAUGAGGAGAAUUUAACAAUGCUGCACAAGAAAAAAUAGGUAAGCUUCAUUUACUCAAUCACAACAAAGAUUUUAUUUGUUAUCACUAUCUACGAUGCAUGGAAACGAGAAUGGUGGCGUUUCCCUAUGUCAGAAAUGGGAUGACAUGCCGGCAAGGCAUUUCCGGAAUUUCUGGAAAUGGGAAACACGUUUUUGGACUGGACACGCGUGCCUUAAAAAAUGUUAGGUUAAAAUAAAAAUGCAGACUCUCGACUCGCACCGCAUCUGACAGAAGAAGAAGAAGAAGCAGCAGCAGGAGGAGGAGGAGAAGAAAGAUAAGGAGAAG